UACAGAGGUCCCAAGCGUUGUUCGGAUUCACUGGGCGUAAAGGGUGCGCAGGCGGUCGGGUAAGUCUGACGUGAAAUCCCGCAGCUUAACUGCGGAAUGGCAUUGGAUACUAUUCGGCUAGAGGGUUGGAGGGGGGACUGGAAUUCUCGGUGUAGCAGUGAAAUGCGUAGAUAUCGAGAGGAACACCAGUGGCGAAGGCGAGUCCCUGGACAACUCCUGACGCUGAGGCACGAAAGCUAGGGGAGCAAACAGG
rnacentral:rRNA from 1 species